UACGGAGGAUGCAAGCGUUAUCCGGAAUUAUUGGGCGUAAAGCGUCCGCAGGUGGUUUUACAAGUCUGCUGUCAAAGCGUGGAGCUUAACUCCAUAAAGGCGGUGGAAACUGUGAGACUAGAGUUCGGUAGGGGUUACGGGAAUUCCCAGUGUAGCGGUGAAAUGCGUAGAUAUUGGGAAGAACACCAGCGGCGAAAGCGCGUAACUGGGCCUGAACUGACACUGAGGGACGAAAGCUAGGGGAGCGAAAGGG
rnacentral:rRNA from 1 species